AUGCUGGAGGGAGGCGCUUGCUGCAAGAUUCCUUCUCCCGGUCCCGUAGACUGCGGAGUCCGCGGGACCGUUGAACGGAGUCUCUCCGGAGCCCAAGUCACCCCACCCCCAAACCCCGCAGCCGGAUGGGAGUCCAGGCCACUUCCCUAUCCGGAGCCGGUGGGACAAGGAGUCCUGGUGCCAAAUUUGGCCGCGGUACAGGCGCUAAUUGGUAAAGGGAUGACCCAGCGGUGGGGUUUGGAAGGCGAGGGCCCGCGCCCUGCAUCCUUGAACCCUGGUUUGGGAGGCAGUGGCUUUUCCCCGGAUUUCAGAGACACUACAGGUGAAAUUAACAGCGGGCUGGCUGUCCAGGCCUGGGUGGAGCAUGCCCUUGUUAGCUUGAAGGUUCUCCCUCGCAGCCCGUUUGGAUGCGUGCGUCUACAGCCCAGUCGCACUUGGCAAGAAAAGAGAAACACGGGAGACGAAUGUUCAAACCCAGAUCUCCUCGCUGAGCCUGGAAGCUCGCCACCGUGGGAUCACGGGAACCAGAGGCAAGAGGCUGCGAAUGAGUCCAGCACCCGCUUUCCUCGGAUUUUAAAAGCGUACCUGGGGCCAGAGACUGCACAGCCAACUAAACGGAGUAAACGCAACAGGUGGAGGAGGCAGAGUUGCCAGGGGCCAAGCCCGGCGCGAUCUGGCCAGUUCUUGGGGAGCGCGGACCUCGGACUGCAGAGAGACGUUUUGAAGAGUGCUGAGCGCACCUGCCUCUCGGAGAUACCCAACUCCGCCCGGGCGUCUCCUGAGAACGCACAGUCCACAGACCCCGGGAGGGCUGCCCGCCCUAGGACACGUCCUCUCCCGACCCCUCACUCUUUCAAAAUUGGGGAAGAGGCGGAGGAGAUGCAAAAGAAGAAAGAAAGAGAGAAGAAAAGAGAGAAGGAAAGAAAGAAAUUUUAAAAAAUAA